rnacentral:rRNA from 1 species
GACGGAGGAUGCAAGUGUUAUCCGGAAUCACUGGGCGUAAAGCGUCUGUAGGUGGUUUAAUAAGUCAACUGUUAAAUCUUGAGGCUCAACCUCAAAAUCGCAGUCGAAACUAUUAGGCUAGAGUAUAGUAGGGGUAAAGGGAAUUUCCAGUGGAGCGGUGAAAUGCGUAGAGAUUGGAAAGAACACCGAUGGCGAAGGCACUUUACUGGGCUAUUACUAACACUCAGAGACGAAAGCUAGGGUAGCAAAUAGGGAGUUAGAUACCCCGUA